rnacentral:rRNA from 1 species
AACGAACGCUGGCUGCAUGCCUAACACAUGCAAGUCGAACGAGACCUUCGGGUCUAGUGGCGCACGGGUGCGUAACGCGUGGGAACCUGCCCUUAGGUUCGGAAUAACUCCCCGCAAGGGGUGCUAAUACCGGAUAAUGUCUUCGGACCAAAGAUUUAUCGCCUUUGGAUGGGCCUGCGUUGGAUUAGCUAGUUGGUAGGGUAAAAGCCUACCAAGGCGCCGAUCCAUAGCUGGUCUGAGAGGAUGAUCAGCCACACUGGGACUGAGACACGGCCCAGACUCCUACGGUAGGCAGCAGUGGGGAAUAUUGGACAAUGGGCGAGAGCCUGAUCCAGCAAUGCCGCGUGAGUGAUGAAGGCCUUAGGGUUGUAAAGCUCUUUUACCCGGGAUGAUAAUGACAGUACCGGGAGAAUAAGCUCCGGCUAACUCCGUG